UACGUAGGGUGCAAGCGUUAAUCGGAAUUACUGGGCGUAAAGCGUACGCAGGCGGCUAUGUAAGACAGGUGUGAAAUCCCCGGGCCUAACCUGGGAACUGCAUUUGUGACUGCAUAGCUAGAGUCCGUCAGAGGGGGGUGGAAUUCCACGUGUAGCAGUGAAAUGCGUAGAGAUGUGGAGGAACACCGGUGGCGAAGGCGGCUCGCUGGGCAGUGGCUGACGCUGAGGCGCGACAGCGUGGGGAGCAAACAGG
rnacentral:rRNA from 1 species